GGUGAACGCUGGCGGUGCGCCUAAUACAUGCAAGUCGAACGAGAAGUCGAAGUUUACUUUGACGGAAAGUGGCGGACGAGUGAGUAACACGUAAGAAUCUGCCCCGUACUCAGGGAUAACGGCUCGAAAGAGUCGCUAAUACCGGAUAGUCUCGAAAGAGUAAAGCUUUCGCGGUACGGGAGGAGCUUGCGGUCUAUCAGCUAGUUGGUGGGGUAAAGGCCCACCAAGGCUAUGACGGAUAGCUGGUGUGAGAGCAUGACCAGCCACGAUGGGACUGAGACACGGCCCAU
rnacentral:rRNA from 1 species